UUUGCUUGUUUCUUUGUCUCU
rnacentral:piRNA from 1 species